UUGGAGGGCAAGUCUGGUGCCAGCAGCCGCGGUAAUUCCAGCUCCAAUAGCGUAUAUUAAAGUUGUUGCAGUUAAAAAGCUCGUAGUUGAAUUUCGGGGUUAGUAGGUUGGUCAUGCCUCUGGUAUGUACCGGUCUCACUGAUUCCUCCUUCCUGAUGAGCCGUAAUGCCAUUAAUUUGGUGUUGCGGGGAAUUUGGACUGUUACUUUGAAAAAAUUAGAGUGUUUAAAGCAAGCUAACGCUUGAAUAUAUUAGCAUGGAAUAAUGAAAUAGGACGUUCGAUCCUAUUUUGUUGGUUUCUAGGAUUGACGUAAUGAUUAAUAGGGAUAGUUGGGGGCAUUAGUAUUCAAUUGUCAGAGGUGAAAUUCUUGGAUUUAUUGAAGACUAACUACUGCGAAAGCAUUUGCCAAGGAUGUUUUCAUUAAUCAAGAACGAAAGUUAGGGGAUCGAAGACGAUCAGAUACCGUCGUAGUCUUAACCAUAAACUAUGCCGACUAGGGAUCGGAUGAUGUUAAUUUUUUAAUGACUCAUUCGGCGCCUUACGGGAAACCAAAGUGUUUGGGUUC
rnacentral:rRNA from 1 species